AGCUGGUCCAAGUGCAGUGGUAUUUACAAUUAAUUGAUUACAAUAAAUUACAGAUUUCUUUGUUUCUUCAUUCCCAUAGCUUUACUUGAUUUGCCUUUC
ensembl:Y_RNA Y_RNA Y RNA